rnacentral:snoRNA from 1 species
CAUGUGAUGCCUGAAACCUCCUGAUUCUGAUUCUUAUUGAUGAGCCUUUUUCUCUGACU